UGGCUUUCUUCCUCUACUCAGGCCUUGUCGUGAACAUGGCUUGGUCUUCCCCUAAACUCCACUUCUCUGUUUGCCAGCACUUUUCUUCUGACUCAGUGCUCAAAAUCCUAACUGUAAAACCCCAGGGAGAUGAUCUUAGGCAUUUGAGGAAGAAUCUUAGUUGGUAAACUAACUUCUCUAUCUUCAUUCCUCAGGUCUCUCCACUGCCUCCUACUCACUACCUCAAGAUCCUUGAUUGGAAAAAGCAAAUGAGGGUCUGGAAAGAGAUCAUUUCCUCAGAAGACCUGAGGAGAAAAUGCAUGAUUAGAAUAGGUGUCUGUUUUCUGAGAAUGUGGUUUGAAGAUGAAUGGCUGAGUAGAAAACACUUUCAGAUCCCCACAUAGGCAACGGCAGAAAAGCUCCAAGUGUGAUAUUACAAAUAUGUAUUGUCAUCGAAGACAGAAAUAUUUGCCUUGUCCACCCAAAAGCACAAUGAUCGUAUGGGUUGAUUGUAUUUUCUUCUCUAUGUAUUAUGUGCAGAAUUUCCCUUCAACAAAAGAAGGGAGGAAAGAAAACUAACCCUGCAUUGUAGGCUUCUGCUCUAUUUUAGGAGAGGAAAGAUACUCAAAGACAAAAACCAGCAAGAAAUGGCAUUUGACUUGCAAGCCUUUAGGAGAUGUGCAUAAACAGAGAAGCUCAAAGGGAGGCAGAGAAACCAGGAUGCCAUCGUUGAUUAUGUCCUUCCAGCAACUGCAACCGUGCCUCAAUUUGCAGGGAAAUACAUUCCUCUUCAUGGACCCUGUUCUGGGACCCAUAGCAUGCUCCAGGCUGCAGCCCAGACAGGAAGGUGUCCAAUAUGUCUUUGAGUUCCAUCUUGGGGAUCUCAUGUGAUCUCUGGUGUGUUAGUGAGUGGGCAGGGCCCCUGGAUCCCAGCACUGACCUCAGUUACAUGAAGAGUCUGAGUCCAUGGCAGGAUCUGGGCCCACAGUCUUCUCACCAACCCAGAGGCAGAAACAGACUCUACAAGCAACAUGGAAUGGCAGUGCUUUGUAUCUACAUUUAUUAGUUUUUAAAAAAUUAUAAAAUCUGGCUGGGUACGGUGGCUCAUGGCUGUAAUCCCAGUGCUUUGGGUGGCCAAGGUGGGAGGUUCCCUUGAGCCCAGGAGUUAGAGACCAGCCUGGGCAACAUGGCAAAACCCUGUCUCGACAUGGCUAAAUAAAAAAAUUAGCCAGGCAUGCUGGUACACACCUGUAGUCCCAUCUACUUGGGAGGCUGAGGUGGGAGGAUCACCUAAGCUCAAGAGUCCAAGGUUACAGUGAGCUAUGAUUGUGUCACUGCACUCCAGCCUGGGCAACAGAGUGAAACUUUGACUCU
rnacentral:lncRNA from 1 species